rnacentral:rRNA from 1 species
CUCCGAUCCUGGCUCAGAACGAACGCUGGCGGCGCGCCUAAUACAUGCAAGUCGAGCGAGAAGGUGUAGCAAUACACUUGUAAAGCGUGAACGGGUGAGGAAUACAUGGGUAAUCUACCAUCGAGUGGGGAAUAACCACGAAAGGUUGGCUAAUACCGCGUACGCCUCCGGAUCUUCGGGUUCGGAGGGAAAGCCACACUGUGAGUGCGGCGAGGCUUUGAUGAGCUCAUGUCCUAUCAGCUUGUUGGUAGGGUAACGGCCUACCAAGGCUUUGACGGGUCAGCUGGUCUGAGAGGACGAUCAGCCACACUGGCACUCCGACACGGGCCAGACUCCUACGGGAGGCAGCAGUAAGGAAUAUUGCGCAAUGGGCGAAAGCAGUGACGCAGCGACUAUGCGUGGGGGAUGAAGGUCUUCGGAUUGUAAAUCCUUUCGGGAGGGAAGGCAUGGAGCGAGCAAUCGUUCGGACGGUACCUCCAGAAGCAGCCUCAACUUCGUGCCAGUUGCCGCGGUCAUACGAAGCAGGCAAGCGUUGUUCGGACACUGGGCGUACAGGCAGUGUAGGCGGUUUGGUAAGUUAUCUGUUAAAGCUUCGGGCCCAACCCGGAAAGUAGCAGAGCAUACUGCCAGGCUAGAGGGUGGGAGAGGAGCGCGGAAUUCCCGGUGUAGCCGUGAAAUGCGUAGAGAUCGCCGGAAUACCGGUGGCGAAGGCGGCGCUCUGGAACAUACCUGACGCUAUACACGAAAGCGCGGGGAGCAAACAGCAGAUUAGAUACCCUUAGUCCACGCCCUAAACUAUGGAUACUAAGUGUCAGCCGGUUACCGCCGGUGCCGCAAACGCAUUAAGUAUCCCUACUGGGCCAGUACGGCCGCAAGGUUGUACCUCAAAGGAAUUGACGGGUUACCGCACAAGCGGUUACAGCAUGUGGUUUAAUUCGACGCAACGCGAAGAACCUUACCCCAGGUUGGACAUGCACGUAGAGUAGAAAGGUGAAAGCCUGACAGGUAGCAAUACCAGCGUGCUCAGGUGCAUGGCUGUCGUCAGCUCGUGCCGUGAGGUGUUGGGUUAAGUCCCGCAACGAGCGCAACCCCUGCUUUCAGUUGCUACCGGGUCAUGCCUAUCGCACUCUGAAGGACUGCCCUUGAUAACGCCGAGGAAGGUGGGGAUUACCGUCAAGUCAGCAUGGCCUUUAUCCCAGGGGGCCACACACGUGCUACUUCAUGGCCGGUACAAAGCGCUGCAAACCCGCGAGGGGGAGUUAAUCGCAAAACACCGGCCUCAGUUCAGAUUGAGGUCUGCAACUCGACCUCAUGAAGGCGGAAUCGCUAGUAAUCGCGGAUCAGCACGCCGCGGUGUAAUACGUUCCCGGGCCUUGUACACACCGCCCGUCACACCACGAAAGCCCAUGUACCUGAAGUCGCCCAAGCCAACCGCAAGGAGUACGGCGCCCACGUAUAUGGCGGUGAUUGGGGUG